rnacentral:rRNA from 1 species
AACAUCGCCUCCUGCAAAAAUCAAUGUAUAGGAGGUCCUGCCUGCCCAGUGACAACUUGUUAAACGGCCGCGGUAUUUUGACCGUGCUAAGGUAGCGCAAUCACUUGUCUUUUAAAUGAAGACCUGUAUGAAUGGUGGAACGAGGGCUUAACUGUCUCCCUUCUCCCGUCAAUGAAAUUGAUCUGCCCGUGCAGAAGCGGGCAUACAUAUACAAGACGAGAAGACCCUUUGGAGCUUAUUGGGGCGACCGCGGGGGAAAACAAAGCCCCCACGUAAAACCGAGAGAGACAUCUCUAAGCCACAGAACAUCUGACCAAAAGAUCCGGCCCACAAGCCGAUCAACGAACCAAGUUACCCUAGGGAUAACAGCGCAAUCCUUUCCAAGAGUUCAUAUCGACGAGAGGGUUUACGACCUCGAUGUUGGAUCAGGACAUCCUAAUGGUGCAGCCGCUAUUAAGGGUUCGUUUGUUCAACGAUUAAAGUCCUACGUGAUCU